rnacentral:rRNA from 1 species
UACGGGGGGGGCAAGCGUUGUUCGGAAUUACUGGGCGUAAAGGGUUCGUAGGUGGCCUGCUAAGUCAAACGUGAAAUCCCUCAGCUUAACUGGGGAACUGCGUCUGAGACUGGUGGGCUUGAGUGCAGGAGAGGAACGCGGAAUUCCAGGUGUAGCGGUGAAAUGCGUAGAUAUCAGGAGGAACACCGGUGGCGAAGGCGGCUUUCUGGACAGAUACCGACGCUGAGGCACGAAAGCUAGGGGAGCAAACAGG